GAUUCUCUCUCUCAGCUGAGAGUUGUUGGCAGAAAAGUAGUUCCCUCUUGCCGAUGCUAGUAAAGAUCUUUCCAUGGCAUCAUUCAAGAUAUCAAACCCUAACCCUACACUCAAACAUCCCCUUUCAUGAUGUAACCCAGCCAGCAAUCCUCUGUAUCUCUCGUUUUUUAAGCCAAUCUAAAUCCCAAAAUGAAGAUACCUAUGACCCUCCAUUUUCAUUCACCUCCAAAACCCUAAAACCCAAUAACGAGAACAAGGAAAAGAAGCAAGGGAAUAGUCAAAACAAAGCUUCAUCGAAAUCCGAGAAAGACUUGGACUUUCCAUUGAAAUCAAAUCUACCCUUCGAUUUUAGAUACUCAUGCUUUGAGACUAACCCUUCGAUUGAGCCCAUUGGGUACCGUGAACCACCGAGAUUCUCUCCCUUUGGACCUGGACGGCUUGACCGGAAAUGGACCGGCACUUGUGCUCUGGCCAAAGAAGCAGUUGAUUUGCUAAAGUUAGAAGAACAACGACGUGAGGUUCUUGGAGAAGAAUAAUAAUGGCCUGUUUGGGUGUCUUCUUAUAUCUGCUGCUUUAGGGCCUUGACGUUCCUGAAAUUCUUGUAGAAGCUGAAAGGCGUGGGUCAUCUUUUGAUGAAUUGUUGACAAUGCCCGAGUAGGAUGAUUGGAUAUACAGUGAUGGGAAGUCCACAUCAUGUGUUGUUUUCAUUCUAGAAAUGUACAAGGAAGCAGGGUUGUUUGAUCCAAUUGCAAACUCCAUUCAAGUUACAAAGUUUACGGUGGAAAAUGCAAAAUUCCUUGUAAUGCUCUCCAAAUGCCUUAUGUGAAGCUGACAUAAGCAUUUUUCGUAAUUUUUUUAGACGAUAGUUAGGAUAGGGAACUACAUUAAAUCAAUGUGUAAAGUUUAGGAAUGUAACUGAUACGAAUUAAAAACUAUAGACCAAAAUGAAAUCAAUGAUAUACUUUAGGAACUAUUUAUGUAAUUUACCCUUUAUUUUUACCAUCAUGAAAAUAAACUUGAACUGUAUGGAUAAAUGUGGAUGUUCAACUGAAAUUGAUUGUUUUGUGGAUGUAA